AUUGAACGCUGGCGGAAUGCUUUACACAUGCAAGUCGAACGGCAGCACGGACUUCGGUCUGGUGGCGUGUGGCGAACGGGUGAGUAAUGUAUCGGAACGUGCCCAGUCGUGGGGGAUAACGUAGUGAAAAUUACGCUAAUACCGCAUACGAUCUAUGGAUGAAAGCGGGGGAUCGCAAGACCUCGCGCGAUUGGAGCGGCCGAUAUCAGAUUAGGUAGUUGGUGGGGUAAAGGCCCACCAAGCCAACGAUCUGUAGCUGGUCUGAGAGGACGACCAGCCACACUGGAACUGAGACACGGUCCAGACUCCUACGGGAGGCAGCAGUGGGGAAUUUUGGACAAUGGGCGAAAGCCUGAUCCGGCCAUUCCGCGUGCAGGAUGAAGGCCCUCGGGUUGUAAACUGCUUUUGUACAGAACGAAAAGGUUUCUACUAAUACUAGGAGCUCAUGACGGUACUGUAAGAAUAAGCACCGGCUAACUACGUGUCAGCCGCCGCCGUAA
rnacentral:rRNA from 1 species